rnacentral:rRNA from 1 species
CACCAGACUCCUACGGGAGGCAGCAGUGGGGAAUAUUGCACAAUGGGGGAAACCCUGAUGCAGCGGCGCCGCGUGAGUGAAGAAGUAUUUCGGUAUGUAAAGCUCUAUCAGCAGGGAAGAAAAUGACGGUACCUGACUAAGAAGCCCCGGCUAACUACGUGCCAGCAGCCGCGGUAAUACGUAGGGGGCAAGCGUUAUCCGGAUUUACUGGGUGUAAAGGGAGCGUAGACGGCAUGGCAAGUCAGAUGUGAAAGCCCGGGGCUCAACCCCGGGACUGCAUUUGAAACUGUCAGGCUGGAGUGCAGGAGGGGUAAGUGGAAUUCCUAGUGUAGCGGUGAAAUGCGUAGAUAUCAGGAGGAACACCGGUGGCGAAGGCGGCCUGCUGGACUGCAACUGACGUUGAGGCCCGAAAGCGUGGGGAGCAAACAGGAUUAGAUACCCUGGUA